UUUGUGGUCGGUGUUACAGGUGGUGCAUGGUUGUCGUCAGCUCGUGUCGUGAGAUGUUGGGUUAAGUCCCGCAACGAGCGCAACCCUCGUCCUAUGUUGCCAGCGGGUCAUGCCGGGGACUCAUGGGAGACUGCCGGGGUCAACUCGGAGGAAGUGGGGAUGACGUCAAAUCAUCAUGCCCCUUAUGUCUUGGGCUUCACGCAUGCUACAAUGGCCGGUACAAAGGGCUGCGAUACCGCGAGGUGGAGCGAAUCCCAGAAAGCCGGUCUCAGUUCGGAUUGGGGUCUGCAACUCGACCCCAUGAAGUCGGAGUCGCUAGUAAUCGCAGAUCAGCAACGCUGCGGUGAAUACGUUCCCGGGCCUU
rnacentral:rRNA from 1 species